CUCUUGUUGCCGUUUGCGCACCUGGCAGCGGCGACGCAGGUGGGCGACGCGUGCUCCUCCUCCAGCGGCGGUGGCUCCGGCCUGCACUGCAGCCCCUGUGGCGCCGGCGGGGCAGCAUCUGCACGUGCGCCAGCCCCGUGGACCCGGCCACCCACGGCACGGGCCUCCCCUUCAACAACUACCCGUGGCUCACCACCCACAACUCCUACGCUCUCGCCGGCGCCGCCUCCGCCACCGGCUCCGCGCUCAUCACCGAGACCAACCAGGAGGACACCGUCACUGCGCAGCUCAAGAUGCUGUUGAUGCAGGGGAAGGAGAGAUGCCACCAGCCGUCCAGCCAGCCCUCCCCUUUCGUGACUGUGACCGCCACUAUGGCCACGACGGAUGGUAAUUAUCUUGUCUUAUUAACCGAGACUUGGAUCCAUUUUCAUCACAAAGGAGCACAGCAGCACAGGUGUAGUAUGAAAUAUGAAUGCGAUGUUCAUUUAUUUCUGAUGAUACGGCUUGUUUGCGCCGGAGACGCAAGGUUGGCAUGGGAAGGAGAUCUGGAGCUGCACAGGUGUAACAUCCAGAAAGUGGCAGCUGAGCCAGUUGAGUUCAAUCAAGAGAUUAGGAGGGACCAUUGUUUGGAGCCGGCCCCUUUGGUGAGGGGAGGUAGGCAGGGCAGGUGGUGGGAGGGCCAUGGGGGGGGGGGGUUCAGCACUGAUGUCCAUGAUGUUGUUUGAGCCACUCCAUCCAUCCAUCGCCGUGUACCAGACUAGAAUCAGUCCACACCCACAAAUGUGAUAUCUGUCUCUGGAGCCCUGCCUAUCUACGGAGCGGAUUUGGGGAGAGACAAAAACUGACUUGGCUUCCACAUUUUGAUGGAGACUUUGUUUCAGUAGCGAGUUUUUUUUAGCGAGCACAGGCUAUGCUAUGAAAUCGAGAGAUAGGAGUAUAGAAGCAAACAGAAGCCCAGUUCGUAGCAGCAGAGCACAACGCCUAAAGUGAUGUUUAUUAUCCUUGAUUGAUGGCAUUGAAGACAGAGGGUGACACAAAGGGUUCAAAGUCUUCUGAUCAGAAUGGAAAGAAACAGAUGUUACCCAAUGGUGAACUUGGAUCAUCAAGGACUAAGUACAACAACAUGGAGCCAGAUGUUGUUGAUUUCUUUGGGGAAUGUAUGAAUAGUCCCCGAAAUGGUCGUACUCCGCUUGCAAAUGAGAUAUAUGAGCAAAUGGUUGCAGAGAAGGAAAGAGAGCUAGAAGAAGGAGAAGCACAAAAGUCACCCUCCAAGAUUGUUGCUGAUAGUCUCAGCCAGAUCAGUCGCUCAUCCACCUUCCUUCUAAACAUUGGUGUCUGUUUGAAUGCUUCAAACCUUUGUGGUGGAACCUUUGUAUGUUUGAACCUCUAUUGUGGAAGAACUAGUGUGCUGGAAUUGUGUAUGACUUGUGAUGAGAAUGUUGUGUAUGA